rnacentral:lncRNA from 1 species
ACUGCACUUCCAAAAACAUACUCGGGAUGCCCUGCACGUCCGAAUUUAAAUAUAAGGAAACCUAAUACAGCUUCUACCGUCUUACGUCGAUGUCGGAGGUAUUCCCCCUGUUCCGUAGAGACGCGAUGCAGACAGUUAAUGUGACGUCACGAAUCGAUACACCAUCCGGGUCACCAGCGCGAGGUGGAAGACUCCAAGUUUCCGUUAUUGCAGGAACAAUCCGUCGCCGGCGGAAGAUUUCUGUUUGGAUAUCGCAUAGAAGGAAAAGAAAAGAGGGAUUAUCCGUAGGAAGACGUUGGCGUAACUAACUGAAAUGUGUGUCUGACUCACUUCUGUACGUCCUCCUCCACCCACGACUCAGGAAUGCCCGAAGUUCUCACGUGCUGCAUCAGGUGCUUGUGACUGGGCUGUCGAAGUCAGGUACCUGAAGUAGUGCGCGGAGAAAUUCGGGUCUGUGACCACCACUCCGCUCUUCCAGAUUCAAGUCGACGUCCGGGGGUGGCUUUUAAGAAGUCAUCCAACGAAUGGCCGUCUCAUCAGUUCCUCUCCAUUUUGGUAGAAGGUAUUCCAUUUUAAAAGGCGAGAACGCUAUGCCAAGAAGUCUUCUCUUUAAUCAUUUGGAUGGAGCUUUAAAGACCCAUUAACAUUGAAGGACACUUAUUAACCUCUCGUAGAAAUCGUGUCUCUGGUUAAAAGUAAAGCGCUGUUUAUGUCUCCACGCAGUGUAAAGAUCUCGUUCAGAGGUUCCAUCUUCAGACUUCAAUCUCAAAAUAGAAAGUUGCUCAGAUUUUGGCCAAUUGCGAGAUUGUUGCAAAUUUUUGAGUAAUAGUUACGUUUUAUGUUAGUCAUACAAUGAAAUUAGGAAAGUUGUAAAUAUAUAUCAUUUUUGAUAAAAUUGCGAAUAUUUAAAAAUUAGUUGCAAGAAACGAAUGUUAGAUAUAUUCACAAUAAAACUGUUUUUCUAAGGCCUAAUUCAUAUCUACUGUAUCGUUAUUCUCUAUGGCAAUUUCCAGAAUGAUUGAGAAAGUGAAUAAAUAAGGAACUCUUCUACUUUGUUUGCUCCACCUCUCCAAUCUAGCUUAGUGACUUCUUUCUAUAAUAUCCCUGCCCUGAUCUCUAACCCAAGAUAUUACUGCGACGGAAGUAGAAAAACGUGAGAUAGGAAAAGUGAUGAAGUGCAAAAGGUUUUUCCAAGAUUCGAUUCAUGAGUUCAGAAGACUAUCUCUUAGCCAACCUAACUAAGCAAGGAUAGACAAGAAAAUUACACGUUUUGGGUCCUACUGUCGUAUAGACCUUGAACACAACAGGAAGUUCCGGUUUUUCUGUCAGACUUUUGGAUAUCCGGUUGUUUCGUUUGAUAUGUUGCAUCGUAUUGGAAACCCGUAUCCAGCUCAAUAGGGGAUCGCACAAAAGGUCAAGAUCCUCCUGUCUACCUCGCUCGAGCUUAUUCCAGUCACCUACUGAGAUGCCGUAAAAAUACUUAAAUCCUUUUUACCCAACCUCACUAACUGCGUAGCUUUAUUAGUCCUUGAUUUAUCCUUGAGGGUGCGUCAAAACAUGUUACAGACUCCUAGAUAUUCAAAACUGCAAACAUGUCUUCCGAAAACAGUAGCUUUUCUAAUUUAGGAAAUUCCAAUUAACCCAGAUUAAUGGAGGCCAAAAUUUCUCUCGUUUGGCUUUCCAUUAUCGUACAUUUUAAUGGCGUUUAAUCGUAAAACGAAUACUUACAAAAAUCGAACACCAUUCUCCCUUUAAGGCAUCUUAUAAAAAUUCAAAAAUUGGCAUGAAAUCUUUUUUCUAUCCCUUUUUAACAUGCUGAACUGGUCGCAACAAUUUCGUAUUUAAAGACAGUUUAAAUAAAUUCUCUUUGAACAAUACACAAAAUUAUAUUCGGACCUUCCACAACGCUGCUUCCCGUUCCCAUUAAUUUUUCUUAUCCAAAAAAAUGUUAUAUAUGUAAAAAUCCAAAAUGCGAUAUGCAAAACAGUGACCAAAAAUUGGUUUAUAUUAACUACACCCCCUAUUUAAUGUUUUUUUUGCGCGGGUUCUGCAUACAAAUAAAUUCGUGCAUGGCAUUAAUUUGGUUUGCGCGACCCAUACCAAUAGAAAUUCUGGAAAGAAAGAAACACAAAUUUCUUUGUAUGACGAUAAUGUACUCAUCUCUUUGCCAUCUGGAAAGUUUCCAGUUUCCAACGAAAUCUCUCCAUUCACUUGUAAAAGUAAAGGACGAUGCCACCUUGUUAUCGAUCCUUUGCCAUUUCACCCAAGAAUUUAAUUUACGCAUUUUGAAUAAAUAUACGUUUACACUCCAUUUGUCAUGAUAAAAGGCCUAUCUGUUGAAUAGCAAUACUAAAAGAUUUCUGUCUGUUGAGCAAUAAUUAUUGUUGG